UUUUCCUGCAGCACGGACUGAGACUGGAUCUUCAGCAGCUGGACAGCUCCUCUGAUCUCCUGGUUCAGUUCGCUGAUAAAAUGAUGUUUAUCCCAAGAUUAACUUCUCAACAUCUGUGUGCAGUGGGUGCCUCUUUUGGUCCUGGUUUCAAUGUCCUUGAAAGACUUGAGGUGAUGUUAUGAAGUGAAUGCCUGUUGGUGACCACUGCUUUGACCACUGUGAUGGGUGGUGUUUGCCUGGAAGGCUGAGGGUGUCUUCAGAUCAGGGUAAGCAGAUACUGGUCAUCCUCUGAAACCAAGAUGUUUGUGCCAAAUGAAAGUCUUGGCUCAGAAGUGCUCUUAAAUGCAGUUGUCAUGGAUUGCAUUUUCAUGAACAGAAGAACCUAAUGGUCUACUGUGGGUUUCAGGGUGGGCCUGACAGUUUGAGGACUUGAACAGCUGAAACAAUGGACAAGCUGGAUGCUCUUUGGAACAAAGGUGUCCCUGAUCAGGACAAUAAGCCUCUGCAUGAAGAUACUGGUGCUGCCCUGGCUGAGGUCAUCUCUUCUGUUGUAGAAACAACUUGGUGCUGGAGGCGAUGGACAUGUGAAGUUAUGCCUGUAAAUGCUGUCAAGACUUAAUAAAGUUCUUAACUCAA